AUUUAUUGCGCCAUGUCGUUGCCAUUCAAAAGCCUUUAAAAUGGCAUAAACCUUGGUUUACACCAAUAUAGGUACAUUCUACAUUGGCACUCUUUUAGUCAGCAAUGUUUAAAUUGAAGGAAUAUUAUUGGACUUUUAUGUGAAGGAAGAAUAUUAUUCCAGCACUUGGUUGCCUGACGACGGAAACUGCCAGUGAAAGCCAAAGUACGGUGAAUAUGGAACAUCAGCGGCAUUCUAGUACGGCGAAUACUCGGACGAUGAAAUUGUAAUUUGCAAUAUAAAUAAUCAAUAUUUUUAAAUUUAAUUAUAUCAAACAUUAACAUAGCAAAAUGUAAAUGUCUCCGCGAUUCCAUAUUCAACAUGGAUUUAUCAUUCAGGUAAAGCGUGACGUGUGUGCGAGGCGGAAUAGCAAAACAGAAACGACAACAUGCGUUCUGCACUCGUUGCACCAUACGUUUAGUCUUAUACAAUAAACGUGGACCAUACACUAGAUCACCAUAGUUUAGACGAGAAAGUAUAAGUGACUCACAAAUAAUUAUUCUUGCUUUCUCUUGCUUUCCUUAAGCCUGUAAAAGCAAUUUCUAAUUAAAUUUAAAAUAUGUCCCCUCAAAGCGUAACCGAUCAUCAAAAACUAUACCCAAGUUCUUAGCCUCAUUGACCUGUUCAAUCCUCUCGUCUUGUCAUUUUUCUACUCCAUAUGUGAAGCUAUCCCAUUUCCAUCAUUAAAAGGCUUUUCGUUCACUUUAUGUGCGGUUGGAAAUGUCCCUGCGAACCUUUUUAGGAGUCUAAUUCUAAAACAUUGUCGAGCCUGAUAAAAUAUUUUAUUACGACAUCAGCAGUUCGAAAUGCUUUUUUGUGAAAUUCAGAAUAUAAUUACAGAAUACACGAUAGCUGAGUCUGAGAUCUUUUUAUUUUAUUGUAUUAAUCGAAUUUUUAAAUUUUUACUAGCAAAAUAUCGAGACGAAACCACCUCUUUUAUUUGAUUCAUACUGUAACGCCACGCAUUAUGACCUCUUUAGUCAUAUCGCGUGCGCGCUGGCAUGAUUUUUAUUUAUUUCAGACUAAAUUCAAAAUUUUAAAUUAUUGUUCCACUUGAUAUCGAUAUCGGCACGUACCACAGUACGGUGUAAUAAUAAUAAAUUAUAUAUAUAAUAAAAUAUCUUAAAUUAUUUAUAGACCCUUGAAGGGUCUGUAUUUUAUUAAUUAUACUAUUAUACAACUGUUUGGCUUUGCCUAUUUCUACUCCAACCCUACCUGAGAUUACCCUACCACCUAACAAUACCAUGAUAUAAUGGACUUGAAAUGUCAAACUUCACAUAAUUCCUGCAAAUUAUAAAGUAACAUAUUUUAGUAAUUAAUUAAACUUUUAUU